UGGACCCGCAAUGACGUCGACCCGGGGGAUUCAACCAGGCCGUUGCGAUCGGGACGCGUGGGGGUUAUGCGGAGCUGUAAAGCCCGUGCCUUUGCGUGGGUCUCCGGGCGGACUGGUGCACUUUCCUCGGGUUGAUUGCCACGACCGGCUCUCCGUGCGGCCACAAGCCUGUUGCUGGGAAGGUGACCGUGGGCCCCGCGCCCGCGGUGUUAUAGACCAGCUUGCUGGUUGAGCUCGUCGGAGGGCCGAGGAAGUUGCCGUUUCUCACCACCCUCUGGCCAUCCUUGCUCGUCACGACUGGGGUGAACUGCUUCGUCAGUGCUCUCCCGACCGCGAGCGUAGGAAGGGCUGGUACGGUGCGAGAAUUGCUUCGGGCCAGUGGCGAAUCGGUCGGUCCUCCACCC
rnacentral:rRNA from 1 species